CUCUCAGGCCUUCAGCCACAGACUGAAGGCUAUACUAUCAGCUUCCCUGCUUUUGAGGCUUCUGAACUCUGACUGAGCCACUAUUGGCUUCCUUCUUCCUCAGCUUGCAGACAGCAUAUCAUGGGACUUCACCUUGUAAUCAUAAUGUUGAUGAGUUUCAUAAGAAAUGACUCUCGCAUGGGGAAGGAUGAAUUCUUCUGUUACUAAGGAGAUUGAAACCAAAUCUCAGAGAUCACAUCCAGAUCUCAGCUGGCAAAGAACAUUUAGAAACACACCCAACCCAACACUUCACAAGCAUAGCUUUAAAAAUUUUGAGAAUCACAUCCUCCAGAGCAGAUUUUCAAUGUGAAUUUUACUGUGGACCAGCAAUGUUUCUACAUCAGACCUCAAGAAUGAGGAAAAGAUGGAAGGAGAAAAACUGAGAAGAGUCACAACAUCUAUUUCUAAAAGGGAGUUGCAAAAGGAAGCACAACAAAAAAUAUGACUUUAAGACACAUGCACAUGUAUGUUUAUUGCCACAUUUAUUCGUAAUAGCAAAGACAUGGAAUCAACCUAAAUGCCCAUCGAUGGUAGACUGAAUAAAGAAAAUGUGGCACAUAUACACCUUGGAAUACGAUGCAGCCAAUUAAAAAAAAUGAGAUUAUGUCUUUUGCAGAUACAUGGAUGGAUUUGGUGGCCAUUAUCCUCAGCUAACACAGGAACAGAAAACCAAAUACUGCAUGUUCUACAAAUGGGAGAUAAAUGAUGAGAACACAUGGACACAUACAGGGGAACAACACGACUGGGACCUAUCAGAGGGUAGAAGGUGAGAGAAGGGAGAAAAUCGGAAAAAAUUACUAAGGGUAUGAGGCUUAAUACCUGGGUGAUGAAAUAAUCUGUACAAACCCCCAUGACACAAGUUUACCUAUGUAGCAAACCUGCACAUGCACCCCUGAACUUAAAAUAAAAGGUUUUUAAAAAGGAACAAUGCAAUGCUAGAACUAAGGAAAUCCAAAUAAAGUAUGGACUUCAGUUAAUUAGGAAAAAGUAAAAGAAGCUACAAGACCUAAAAAAAGGGCUGACUACAAAUGUGUGUUAAAAUACAUGGUCUGUGAAAGUCUUGAAGAACCUCCAACCUCCCAUGUAAACAUCUCUAAAAUCAAAAUUUGUGCUAUCUGGCUUCACAUCUCAAAUGAUCCCUUGGAUUUUAGUUCCUGGUAUUUAUUCUGUUCCCAGUCUAGACAAUGUACCUUCAAUACUUCUCUCUUGGAAUGUUUGUGGACUCCUCCUAGCCCCCAACAUUAUGGGAAGAGGCCCACUUCCCUGUCACUGGGUUUUCUUCCAGACAUACCUACACGUGGCUCAGCUCCCAUCAAAAAGGAGAGAGAUCAGGCAAUUAACCCCACUUAACAAAGGAUAAAUAGGUUUGUAAAAGGUAAGUAAUUUUCCCACUGAGGUUCUUUUUUUUUUUUUUUUUGAGACGGAGUCUCGCUCUGUCACCCAGGCUGGAGCGCAGUGAUGCAGUCUCGGUUCACU
rnacentral:lncRNA from 1 species